rnacentral:rRNA from 1 species
UACAGAGGGGGCAAGCGUUGUUCGGAAUUACUGGGCGUAAAGGGCGCGUAGGCGGCCUGCUAAGUCGAACGUGAAAGCCCCCGGCUCAACUGGGGAGGGUCACGCGAUACUGCUCGACUCGAAGGCAGGAGAGGGAAGUGGAAUUCCCGGUGUAGUGGUGAAAUGCGUAGAUAUCGGGAGGAACACCAGUGGCGAAGGCGAACUUCCUGGCCUGUUCUUGACGCUGAGGCGCGAAAGCUAGGGUAGCAAACGGG